CUUUCUCCUGCUUGGGCCAUGUGAAGAUGACUGCUCCUGCUUUGCCUUCCACCAUGACUGUCUGCCCAUGGACAUUCUCUGCACACAGCUAUUAUGGUCAGUACCUGAAAGCUCAGUCCCUCUCCUGUUCUACACAAACACCAAUGUCUCCCCAGUGCCUCACACACCAACUUGAGACUCCUGAGUAACACACGCAUCUGCAUUUUCAAUCAACGCCUUGAGGGACUGAAUCAUCUGCAAAGGGAACAUCCAGACAUGAGAUUACACCUGACAACUAGAUCCCCUCCUGCAUUCAUGCACAAGGCUCUUCUCCUAAAACAGGCUGAUGUGAUGAUAUUAAACGCUUUUUUAUCUGA